UCAGUGGAAUCGGGUUUCGAACCUGUAACCGUCUGUCUCCGAGACCGACACCAUACCACAAGGCCUCCGCGG